rnacentral:misc_RNA from 1 species
ACGCUCCUUUCUUCGUCUUCUUCGUCUUCUCCUCUGUAAUUUGUUUGUUUCUGCGCUUCCUCAACACGAUACAAGGGAAGAGAAAGCAAGUGAUUUUUGUUUAUAUGUGGUUUAUAUGUGUGAAAUUGGAAGAUAAUACUAUGAGUAGGCACUCAGUUGCAGGUGCUUCUCGCACCACCUUCUUCCAAAGGAUCAAGAAUACAUGCCUCAAUUCAUCUUUCCCUGACUCAGGGAAAGGGAGAAGUAAAUCCUCUGGCAAGAGGUUGUCUCAUGGAUUUCAGUUGGUGGAAGGAAAAUCCGGCCAUGAUAUGGAAGACUAUCAUGUUGCUGAGUAUCGGAAAAUCAAGAAUCACGAGCUUGGAUUAUUUGCUAUCUAUGAUGGUCAUCUUGGGGAUCGAGUGCCUAGUUAUUUGAAAGACAAUCUUCUCCGCAACAUCCUUCAAGAGCACAACUUCUGGGAUGACCCUAAAACCGCAAUUAAGAAUGCUUAUAAAAAAACCGAUAAGUUUAUUUUGGAGAAUUCUAUGCAAUUAGGCGCUGGUGGCUCUACUGCUGUUACUGCAAUUGUCAUUGAUGGCAAGGACUUGUGGGUCGCCAAUGUUGGCGAUUCUAGAGCUGUUAUCUGUGAGAGAGGCUGUGCCAAUCAGCUUACCGUGGACCAUGAGCCACAUACCGAAAGGAAAAGGAUUGAGAAGCAGGGUGGCUUUGUCACAACUCUUCCGGGAGAUGUGCCUAGGGUUAAUGGCCAACU